rnacentral:rRNA from 1 species
GGGUGAGUAAUGCAUUGAUAACCUACCUAUGAGACGGGGAUAACAACGUUCCGCAAGGGACUCCCGAAAGGGUUGCUAAUACCCGAUAAAACUCUUGGUGCUUAGGCAUUGAGAGUCAAAGUUUGGGGCUGAAAGGUUCCACAUGCUCAGAGAGGGGUCAAUGUCCUAUCAGCUAGUUGGUAGGGUAAAGGCCUACCAAGGCGAAGACGGGUAGCCGGCCUGAGAGGGUGGUCGGCCACACUGGGACUGAGACACUGCCCAGACUCCUACGGGAGGCUGCAGUCGAGAAUCUUUCGCAAUGCCCGGAAGGGUGACGAAGCGACGCCGCGUGUGGGAAGAAGGCCUUCGGGUUGUAAACCACUGUCGGGAGUUAAGAAGUGUAAGGGGGUUAAUAGUCUCCUUGCUUGACGUUAGCUCCGGAGGAAGCCACGGCUAACUCUGUGCCAGCAGCCGCGGUAAUACAGAGGUGGCAAGCGUUGUUCGGAAUUAUUGGGCGUAAAGAGCACGUAGGCGGCCCUACAAGUCAGUUGUGAAAUCCUUCUGCUCAACGGAAGAACGGCAGUUGAUACUAUAGGGCUCGAGUGCGGGAGGGGAGAGUGGAACUUCUGGUGGAGCGUUGAAAUGCGAAAAUAUCAAAGGAACAU